GAUGAAGAACGUAGCGAAAUGCGAUAAGUAGUGUGAAUUGCAGAAUUCCGUGAAUCAUCGAAUUUUUGAACGCACAUUGCGCCUUCUGGUAUUCCGGAAGGCAUGCCUGUUCGAGAGUCAUUAACAACCGUUUCGAUCCCUUUCUUUCAGAAAUUACAAAGAGGAAAAGGGUUUGGUUAUGGUGGAGGAGGGAAAGGGAGCGUUUAGCCUGUAAAAAAAGAGGCUGUGUUCCGCCUCCCCCCCAAAAUUGUACAGGCGGUCGUGUGCGCCCACGCAUCGAGGUGUUGUAAAAGCUGCCACGGCACUUUUCACCUGUGCAGUGCGAGAUUGGCCAGCCGGUUUAAAAACCCCUCCAAACAAUCAAAGGUUGACCUCGGAUCAGGUAGGGAUACCCGCUGAACUUAAGCAUAUCAAUAAGCGGAGGA
rnacentral:misc_RNA from 1 species